GACGAACGCUGGCGGCGUGCUUAACACAUGCAAGUCGAACGGAAAGGCCUCUUUCGGGGGGUACUCGAGUGGCGAACGGGUGAGUAACACGUGAGUAACCUGCCCUUGACUUUGGGAUAACUUCAGGAAACUGGGGCUAAUACCGGAUAGGAGCUCCUGCUGCAUGGUGGGGGUUGGAAAGUUUCGGCGGUUGGGGAUGGACUCGCGGCUUAUCAGCUUGUAGGUGGGGUAGUGGCUUACCAAGGCUUUGACGGGUAGCCGGCCUGAGAGGGUGACCGGCCACAUUGGGACUGAGAUACGGCCCAGACUCCUACGGGAGGCAGCAGUGGGGAAUAUUGCACAAUGGGUGGAAGCCUGAUGCAGCAACGCCGUGUGCGGGAUGACGGCCUUCGGGUUGUAAACCGCUUUCGCUCAUGACGAAGCUUUGUGUGACGGUAGUGGGUAAAGAAGCACCGGCUAACUACGUG
rnacentral:rRNA from 1 species